rnacentral:rRNA from 1 species
UACAGAGGUCUCAAGCGUUGUUCGGAUUCAUUGGGCGUAAAGGGUGCGUAGGCGGCGCGGUAAGUCGGGUGUGAAAUCUCCCGGCUCAACUGGGAGGGUGCGCCGAAAACUGAGGUGCUCGAGUGUGGGAGAGGUAGGCGGAAUUCCUGGUGUAGCGGUGAAAUGCGUAGAUAUCAGGAGGAACACCGGCGGUGUAGACGGCUUACUGGACCAUUACUGACGCUGAGGCACGAAAGUGUGGGGAGCAAACAGG